UACGUAGGGUGCAAGCGUUGUCCGGAAUUAUUGGGCGUAAAGAGCUCGUAGGCGGUCUGUCGCGUCGGCUGUGAAAUCCCGAGGCUCAACCUCGGGUCUGCAGUCGAUACGGGCAAACUAGAGUAUUGCAGGGGAGACUGGAAUUCCUGGUGUAGCGGUGAAAUGCGCAGAUAUCGGGAGGAACACCGGUGGCGAAGGCGGUUCUCUGGGCCUGUACUGACGCUGAGGAGCGAAAGCGUGGGGAGCGAACAGG
rnacentral:rRNA from 1 species